GGUCCCAAGGCCGUACGAGGGUAGGGGGAGCUGCCGAAGAGGACCUGUGAGGGGAAAAGGACUUAGUCAAUAAAGGCUCAUAUUUACAGUUAUAAGUUGAGCACGGUAAACUGGAGGUGUCCUGUAUUGUCGGUGUGGUGAACCCGUGCUCCGUCCUUGAUGCAAAACUGUGUAAAUCCUGGUAUUCCUGUGGAUCACGCCAUCCUCCGACGGGGAGUCCUCACAGACGGUGGCGAGGCCAUCAGGAGCCUUCGUGUUGAUGAACCCACCCCUGCUGUGAGGGUCCAGUGAAGGCCAGUGUGAAGACCCUUAUUGAGGGGCAAGGGUGUGGCCCUGAUGGAAAAGGCAGUUGGGUGCGGGGGGACACCUGGACGUUGUCACGCACAGGGGUCUUCCCUGGAGGUGAAUUCAUUGCGCUGGAGACUGUCACUGCCCUGAAAGGGAGUAUGGUGUGACUGCUGCUAUCCAGAGAGCUUUGCUCUUUGGUCCAGUGGUUAGAGCUCAUGUUUACCUCCUGUUAAGAGUUUGAGCCCCAGUUAGGGUGGUUGCGUUUAGCCUUCAUUACAUGAUGCAUUUAUUUGUUAAUGGUAUGACAUUUAUCUAAUGUGACUGCAUUGUACCAUAUCGUGUCUGAACAUAGAUUUCCUGUGUCACAAAACACACUGAUGAAUGGCUGAUGGCUUGAAGUGGGAAAAUUUGUCAGACCAUAUUCUCUCAGAGCGGUGAAAACCUGUGUGUGUAAUAAACGAUUGCUUAUGCAUAGUUUUCUAGACUUUCAAUGUCUAUAUUGCUGUGUGCCUUCUGCUACCUGUGUUUAGUUGCGUUAGCGACAUUAAAUGCUCUUUCUAAGAGGUCAUUAGGAGCCUUGUAUUGGCACAUUCACAGCACCACAGUGGAAUGCGAUAGAAUUGAGAGUUGCCUGAAUUUCAGGGUGGUUUGCACUCAUUUAUGAGACAAAAUCGGCGAUUCAUUCAGUAAACACAAAUUCAAAUGUAUAGCGACUACGAAAUGGAUCUUUUCCAUUGAACGUUAUAGGCAUAUCACUGUAAGUGAAGUGUAGUGUGCCAAUGCAUUUCACUGUGUUCAGUUGUAAUGACUGUAUUUCACUGAGGCAUAUACGUUUGAAGUAGAAAGCAAUAUAGUUCAGCUUUGAUUACAUUUUAAGGUGGACUGUAUGCUAUUAUAUUCUGACACAAAUGCAGCAUUUUUAAUUGUAAGGUCUUAUGUUUAGUUUUUCAGUAAAGAUCAAAUGAUAUGAAAACAAUUUAGUAGUGGGGUUGCUUUUAAUUUUGGAACGAAUUCCAUAUGUCGCUAUCAAAUGGUAAUGCCAUGUGUGUAUUACAUUUCAUGUUUUUCCAUUGUUGUGAUCGUAUGCAGUUGUGAUGGACUUUGUAACAGUCCAGUCCAGUAAGGUCUGGAUAAGCGAAUGAAUGGUGGUUGCGCUGGUAGUUUCAAAGGGCCCGGACAAAGGGCGGGCCAGAUCUGUCAUUCCACAUGCGUCCACAGCUCAGGGCUUGAUUGCCAAAAACGUCUCACUGAAAACAUUAUUUUGCUGAGAGAGAGACAAAGCGGCCUUUAUUUUUUAAUGGUUUUUUUUUUUGUGUGUGUGUGUGUGUAUGUGUAUGUGUGUGUGUGUGUGUGUCAGCCACUGAUACUCUUGUCUACAAACCUGAGAGAACAGCUGAAUAUUAAGUGCUUUCUACUACACAAA